rnacentral:rRNA from 1 species
UACAGAGGGGGCAAGCGUUGUUCGGAAUUACUGGGCGUAAAGGGCGCGUAGGCGGCCGCCUAAGUCAGACGUGAAAUCCCUCGGCUCAACCGGGGAACUGCGUCUGAUACUGGGUGGCUUGAAUUCGGGAGAGGGAUGCGGAAUUCCAGGUGUAGCGGUGAAAUGCGUAGAUAUCAAGAGGAACACCUGAGGUGAAGACGGGUUGCUGGGCUGAUACUGACGCUGAGGCGCGAAAGCUAGGGUAGCAAACGGG